CAUCUUUUCCAAAUGAUAUAACUCUUCCAUAAUUUACAUGCUUUCUUUGAGAAACCACAACUUCACUCCCAUUUUCAUUAGCAAUCUGGGUAUCAUUGGCUAUUUGCCUUUUUCUGCUAGGAGAAUGGCAUUCCUCAGGUGACCAGUCAAGACCACCCCAUAUAGUGUCCCCGCCUUUCGGUAUCAUUGACAUGGUUGAAUCCCAAGUGCGGGUCAUCCUCAUUAAAUGUUGCAAGGUUUGAUGAGGAAAAAGAUCAUGAUCCAAAAAACCUGGUGUAAUGGCCCUAAAUUUUGAGGGACAUAUUCUUAGUUCUUCAUUAAGCAAGAAAUAAAAUCCACUUGUUCAUCUUAUAUAAAAUUAAAUGACUAAUAGAUAAAUCGUAUGCAGCCAAGCAAUGUAUAAGCAUGGUCACUAGUGAUAAGAGACACCUAGACUCCACUCAAGAAAUAAAACAAACACUUACAGGUUGUAAAUUUGCUUGGCUCAAAAGAAAAUGCAGACAUUUAGUUUCAAAUAGGGAAGCAGAGCAAAGAAACAAAAAUAAACAAAAGUAGGCAAAUGAAACAAGAAUCAAAAGUUUAUUUCUUUUAACACAACAUCACAGGCAAAGAUUCAUUUAUGACAAUUUGCAAUAUAAUCUUUCCUGCAUUGUACAACAACAAGACAAGUGAUAUAAGCUGGUGAAGAAUGCCAAAAAUAUACUUCAACACAGUCACAAUAUUUUGUGAGGUCAAAUAAAGCAUGGCUGUCUUUUAUAAGAAUAUAAGCAUAAACAUAGAUCCAAACUACAGCCGUAACUAGGACCACUAUAAAUUGAACAAUAGAUCAAGCUCUUAGCUGCAAAAACUAAGAAUAUUUUGGGAAUAAAUAUGACAAAGUGGCUCCUUAAAAAACGCCCAAAUGAUGACAGAGUUUCCCCAAAAAGAAAAAAAAAAAAAAUAUAUAUAUAUAUAUAUAUAUAUAUGUAUAUAUAUACCAGAAUGCACUAGAAAUUGGUAUCCAUGGUUGUUUUACAUUUUUACAGGCAAAUAAAUUCAAUUUUGUCUUGCAGACAGUGUGUUGCUGAAAAAAGAGGGAGAGAGAUUACUCAAGAGCACUUAUAGAGCAGCCAAGAAAUUAGUUGAAAUCAUGAUUCUGGGAUUGCAUAAAUCAAGUAUACUAGUUCAGAAGGUUGUCGUGAUGAAUGGUGAGGAUAUUUGAAACAAAUUAAUUUGCCACAAAUUGCUUGAAUUUUCCCAAUCCUCUGUGAAGAGAUUAUUAUUCUUGCAAAAUUUAUUUACAUCAAAUAACCCAUCAAAGCAUGAAUGCUUUGUAUCUGUGUGCGGAUAGAUACGAGAUAUUUACCUGGCAACUGCAACAUCUUUAGCUUCAGCAGAGAAAAGCCCAGCAACAGCUUUUGGAACACCUAAAAAUGGACCACCAAUGUUCAUCACUGCCUUUAUAUGCUUAGCACACCAAUCAGGUCCACCACCACCCCCCAUUGGAGCUGGUGCCUCGACCCACUUCAUAAAAUGUAGAAAGUACAAAACGCCCAUUGAAUGUGGAAUAAUAACUGCUUUUUUCCCACCAUUUGUAGCUACCAUCAAUUCUAUGUUGCUUUUAAUUCGGCUGAGUGUUUGGUCCCUCACCUGAUUAAUUAAGUUCAAAAGAAAUAUUAACAUAGAGCAUAUAAUUCAUGAAAAUAUGUAAAUGAAAAACCAGCUUCAAAAUCAAUGAACUCCAAAUACAUUGGCAUAAUAUCAAAAAGAAAUUUAAGUUGGAAGAAUACCUCAGUGUUUUGAAAUGAAAGUCUCCAAUCAUAAGCAGCCAUAUACAUGUUUUUCUCCUCAUAUCCAAUAUUUGCCAAGUUAGCAAUCAGAACUGCCCAAACAAAAUAACCAGGAGCAAAGUAAUCAGCAGCCACAAGUCCAGAGACGGGCCUGACCCUUAUACCUGAAGGAUCUAGUCCGGUUUCAUUGUCCAGUGACAUGUGCUCCACCCAGCAUAGAGGUCUGCAAAAAUCCAUUUCAGAUUCGCAGAAACGUGCUUAAUUAUCUGAAUCAAUCAUCAAAAUUCGCAAGCGCAACUAACAUACAUAAAAUUGACAAGAAACCAACGUCCAAGCCCACACCUAUGGCAAAGGUUUUUAUCUCUAGAUCAAUCAUGUGCCAUUUCAGGAUAGUAGAUUAUUUCCACACCGUCAUAUUAAUUGGAAAUAGCAGAAAAAUUGUCCAGGGAUACCUAGCAAAUGGAUUAAAUUAAACCCAAGAAUUAAUCAACAAACAAUAAUCGAUACCUCUUAUAAACUUCACCAAAAGUACCGCCCCACAAGCGCUUCCUGAACAACCCAUCAGCACACUGGUGCCCUUCCCACAGCUCUAAUCCACCUGUCACAAUUCCCGGCACAAACACUACCGGAUGCUUCACCGUCAACCCCUCCUUCUUCAAUUUCACGCCCGGUGGGUCCGGCACCGGGCCCGUAAUUGCCUCCGUCACGUACUGAUUAAACGACGUCGGAAUUGCGUUGUAUAAAAAUAGCAAAAACCACCACGUCACGCAUAUCCAACCAAUCAGCCAACAGCAAGAAUCAAUACACGACCAACUCUUCUGUUUUUUGGGGUUUUUGUCCUUUGAAGCUGCUUUGUUUUUCUUAUCAUCUUCUUGGUAAAUGUUUGGGUCUGAUUCUGUGGCGUUUGAGGUUCCGGUGGGUUUUCUUUGGCGAAGUAAAGACAUUGUUUAUAAAACUCUGAUUGUUUGUCGGGAAAAUCAAUGAAGUUUCUCGAGAAGUUUUUUUUUUUUUCUUUAAAAAAAAAAAGAACUUAUUUGAAAAUUGAAGAAAAAUUGAUUAUAUACUGUCUCUAAUUUUCCCGAGAAACUGUUUAGUUUCCCGGAAACAAAAUGCUUACUAGAACAAAAUACCAGCUUAUUUGCAUGACAAAAGAAGAAGCUUUUUAGGUUCUGUUCGUUUCCAGAUUUACAUAGCUAGAUUCUGUUCGUUUCCAGAUUUACAUAGCUAACUGAAUAGACUUAAAUUAAACUGAAAUAAGCGCUUUAAUUAACUCAAAAAACGUAAAUUUUAGCUAAAACUGCUCAACAAGUUUGGGGAAAGAAAAAGAUAUGAGAAUAGCGACGAAAAAGGUUGAAAGAGCAGAUAAAAAUGAUAGUGGUAGCUUUUUUAUAAAAUUUAUGAAGAAAAAGUUAACUGAGAAAAUAUUUAUUUUCUCGGGAAAGAAGCAAAGGGCCAUGGACAUUUGGCGGGGAAUAAAGGUGGUUGGGCUCAAUAACGGCGGUGAGGCGUGUGAGUGGGAGGAGCUGAUAAGGCGUUGAUUGGUUAGUCGCUUCCCCCCUGCGACCCAGUAAAAUAUUUACACGCGGGUAUGCUUUAUCUUUUGGCCCGCCAGCCUGUCAGAUGAGGAGUCUAGAGUGCAGAGACAGCUAUUUAUUAAUUGCUCAAAACGACUCGUUUCUAGAUGCAUUUGACCGUUUUUAAUUUUAAUAAUAAAGGCGUUUCUAAGGAUUUGUCGACCGUUACUUAAAUAACAAUACGUUCCUAUUUGAUCACAUUUUUAAGCUCAAAUAAUCAAAUUUGAUGGUUAAUUUUAUUUUAAAAAAAAUUGACGACCAAAUUUUCAAACUAAGACUACAGAGGGCCGGUUGAAAGAAUAUUCCCCAAUCCCCAUUUUGCACGUGGUCACAUGACUCGCAUGCAAUUUAAAGGGUGUUUUACGGUCGAGUCUUUAUGGCCGGCUAGCUAAGUUGUCAAACAAACCAAUAAGUCACAUAAUCAAUUAGUAAAAUGUUAUUAAUUUCUUUCUGGCCUGGUCCGUCUUUAACUUUUUAGCUUAUUAGCACAAUAACACGAGGUUACUUUGACAAUUUUAUUGCUAUAAUGUAAAAAGAUCAAUUACUGAUAAAAAAAAAAAAAAAAAUGUGUUCAUUGGUUGGUCCCUUUUCAUUCUACUAUUUUAACAAAUUAUUUUAUGAUUUAUGUAAUUGUAAUAUUUCUAAAUAAUCCAAUAGCUUUUAAAAUUAGAUUUCAUGAGAUAUCGCCAUAUGAGAUAUCUUUUCUUACCACCCCUAAUACGUAGUUCAAUUGGCCAUGAAUGUUUUUUUUUCGCACUUGUGAUCACUAAAAUUUGAAUAAUAAUGGGCGAUCUACAACCAUGUGUGUAUAAUAGUGGAUUCAUAGUAAUCACUUAAUAAUAUAAAAAAAUAAGGAGAGAAUUUACAUUUACGAUGUUCGUCUAAUAAUAAUUUGCAGCUUCUGAUGAUUUUAGGUGACUCAAUACAAUCACUUCAUUUCAUUGAAUUCAUAAAACUUUAAGCUACAAUGAAUACAUAUUUCUACCCCCCCUAAGAAAAUGGCAAAAAAAGAAAACAACAAACAUACAAUCAUAAAAAUCCGAAGAUAUUUUCUUCUUUUCUGUCGUAUAAGUUUAUAUCAAAAUCAGUUACAACAACCGCAUGUCUUCCCCCCGGCACAAAACAGAAGCAUCGGGUUGAUGAGACCGGCAAGAGAGUUUACGCUUUACACCACAAAAUCCGGCAUCUGGCCUCCAAUCCUGCCGUCAACAUUAGUGGGAAAUCUGGCAUGCCUUCAAGCAUGCCAAAAAAUUUGGCAGCUUCGUAUAUGCACCGGCGGACAGAAGGCCAUUUCCACCAAAUCAAUUUUAUCCUGAAGUUCCAAAGCUGCACAGACAAGAAUUGGAAAGGUUUCAGCUAGUGCUCUUGAACAGAGAUGACGAAAACAUGAGUUUACAAUAUCAGAAGCAGAAAUAGUUCAGAUGCAAUUUUUGCUUUCCACAAGAAAUUGCAAAUGGCAGUUAAUUUGGAAAGAUAUAUUGGCAUGGUGAAUCCUCCUUAUGAAAAGAUUGAUAUUGCUGUAAAAUCAGGAGAAAGUGCAGACCCGUCAAAUUACAGCUGCAAGUUGAUUUUCUCGGACAUCUUGAAGAUGUCGGAAUGAACUUGAUCACCUCCCAAGUCUUCUCCUCUAGCCCCAGCUGCCACCCUUAUAAUAUCUUCAAUCAAUUGGAAAUUUCCCAUUAUAUCAACAUGAGCACCACUUUGAGUGCCUCGGCCUUCCAGCAGAUUGGCUGGAGGAGAAUGCUCGUACUCCCUAAGAUAUGUCCGAAUCCCAGAAGGAUUAAAUCUAGUUUUCCCACGCCAACCUUUUGCACACAUGAAACCUGCACUUAAAACAGGUACAGUCUCAUCCCCAUCUACAGCAUAGACUCCAUCCUUCAGAGGGGUAUCAUCAUCAUCGGCUGAAGUAUCAAUCUGAAAUGGAAUGUAGCAAUCAGCUGAGGGAGUUAAUUUGUAGACAUAAGCUCUUUCGGUUGGUAUGCCAACUCCAUACAUAGAAAAGAUUUCCAUAUCUGGAGCAUUUGGUAACCUACAGAACCAGAGUGAAGGAAGCAAAGCAGUCAGAAUAAAUCAAUAUCUACAAGCUAUCAGGAAAAUAUCCUCAUGAAUUGCAAUAGUCAUUGAAUAGAUCAAGUAGAUUGAACUGCAACAUGGAAACUACAGAAGACGGCCUAAAUAGAAAAGAAAUUUAAGAAAAUUAUACAUCAAAACUAUGGCUACUAAACUACUAUAUUGAAACAUCGACUAUGGUUUUACUAAACAACUACAAUCAGAAGCUGAUAGCAAGAAAAAUCAUCAAAUCAGAGCGAUUACAAUUACUGAAGAAACGCAGUACAAGAACUCAUACGUUGUCUCCAAGGGGUUUGACCAGUAUUUGUAGUGUCGGUACUUUUGGUCAUCCAAAUUGUCAGCAAUCCCAUAAGAGAAAUGAGCACUACCACGUGCCAUCAAUUUUGGGGCAACAAAGUGAAGCAGAUCUAAAACUGAUUCGGCAGUGUAUGCUUUAUAUUCUGCUACAGCUUUAAUACCUUCAAAUCCCAUUUCAUGGUAUUCUGUCCACACAUCACGACAAGUAUUAUUUACAACACUGUUACCCUUGACAGCACCCUGCACAAUAACAAAAUCAAUAAAGUAAAUGCAGUUAGUGGGAAAAAAAAAUGAUUGUGAAGUUCAAUCUGUAGCAACAAGCACACCAGACAAAAGAGUAAAAUACUACUUUGACUGCAGAGGAAAACUGUGAAAAUAAGCACACAAUUGACUUUCAGUGCCAUAAAAACACAUUGUCACGCAUCUGCAUAAUCUGCUGUGCAGUAUAAUUUAGAUGAGCAGUCCACCAAAGAAACUUACACAGAGGGAGAGACUUUUAAACAUGUAUAAUCUUUCUCCAACCAUUUAGCAAAAUGGUAGAUUGAGGUACAAGCAAAGCAUCUUACAGUAACACAGGUAAACUACCUCAGCAUUUGGUUUCAAAGGAAGAAUUGCUAUAAUUUGCUAAAGAAAUUCGACUCUCAACAUAAGAUGUGAAGUAUAUGAUACAAAGGGUCCAUCUUCUGAUCUGUAGUGCAUAUCAUUUAACGCAUUGACCCAAAGGGAAGGGGAAAAAAAGAGAAACAGAAGACUAGUGGAGACAGUCCAUUUCCAAUCCACUCAAAGGUCAUACCAAAAGUUUACUCUUAAAUGGGUUUCAUUUAUCAAGUGAGAAGAAAAAUGGAAUUCCUGUGACCAUGAUAAAAUUUGAAGUCUUUCUAGAGUAUGGUAAGACAGAAAGACUUACUCUGAAGUCUAUCAUAUCAAUGUGAGAUGAAGGUGCCUCCGCUAUAUCCUUUCCAAAUGAUAUAAUUCUUCCAAAAUUUACAUGCUUUCUUUGAGAAGCUACAACUUCACUGUCAUCUUCAUUUGCAACCUGGGUAUCAUUGUUUCUUUGCUUUCUUUUGCUAGGGGUAUAGCCUUCUUCAGGUGACCAGUCAAGACCACCCCAGAUAGUGUCCCCACCUUUUGGUAUCAUUGACAUGGUCGAAUCCCAAGUGCGAGUCAUCCUCAUUACGUGUUGCAACGUUUGAAGGCGAAAUAUAUCAUUAUCAAGAAAACCUGGUG
rnacentral:lncRNA from 1 species